UACGGAGGAUGCAAGCGUUGUCCGGAAUCACUGGGCGUAAAGGGCGCGUAGGCGGCUCAUGAAGGCUGUGGUGAAAGUCCGGGGCUCAACCUCGGAUCGGCCGUGGCGACUCGUGGGCUGGAGCACUGUAGAGGCGGGUGGAAUUCCGGGUGUAGCGGUGGAAUGCGUAGAGAUCCGGAAGAACACCAGUGGCGAAGGCGGCCCGCUGGGCAGUGGCUGACGCUGAGGCGCGACAGCGUGGGGAGCAAACAGG
rnacentral:rRNA from 1 species